rnacentral:rRNA from 1 species
CCUACGGGUGGCAGCAGUGGGGAAUAUUGCACAAUGGGGGGAACCCUGAUGCAGCGACGCCGCGUGGGUGAAGGAGCACCUCGGUGCGUACAGCCCUAUCGGCAGGGAAGAAAGGCGGGCGGGGCCCGUCUGGACGGUACCUGACUAAGAAGCCCCGGCUAACUACGUGCCAGCAGCCGCGGUAAUACGUAGGGGGCAAGCGUUAUCCGGAUUCACUGGGUGUAAAGGUAGCGUAGACGGCGACGCAAGUCUGGAGUGAAAGCCCGGGGCCCAACCCCGGGACUGCUCUGGAAACUGCGGCGCUGGAGUACGGGAGGGGCAGGCGGAAUUCCUGGUGUAGCGGUGAAAUGCGUAGAUAUCAGGAGGAACACCGGCGGCGAAGGCGGCCUGCUGGACCGUGACUGACGUUGAGGCUCGAGAGCGUGGGGAGCAAACAGGAUUAGAUACCCCGGUAGUC